AGCUUCAUAGCUCAGUUGGUAGAGCAUCGAACUAGUAACGCGGAGUCAUCAUGUGUUCAAAUCGCGUUGAAGCCU